rnacentral:rRNA from 1 species
CCUACGGGAGGCUGCAGUGGGGGAUAUUGGACAAUGGGGGAAACCCUGAUCCAGCGACGCCGCGUGAGUGAAGACGUAUCUCGGUAUGUAAAGCUCUAUUAGCAGGGAAGAAAGAAAUGACGGUACCUGAGUAAGAAGCCUCGGCUAACUACGUGCCAGCAGCCGCGGUAAUACGUCGGGGGCAAGCGUUAUCCGGAAUUACUGGGUGUAAAGGGAGCGUAGACGGUAAUGCAAGUCUGGAGUGAAAGGCGGGGGCCCAACCCCCGGACUGCGCGGGCAACUGUGUAACUGGAGUGCAGGGGAGGCAGGCGGAAGUCCUGGUGUAGCGGUGAAAUGCGUAGAUAUUAGGAGGAACACCAGUGGCGAAGGCGGCCUGCGGGAGUGUAACUGACGUUGAGGCUCGAAGGCGUGGGGAGCGAACAGGAUUAGAUACCCUGGUAGUC